rnacentral:rRNA from 1 species
CCUACGGGAGGCUGCAGUGAGGAAUAUUGGUCAAUGGACGAGAGUCUGAACCAGCCAAGUAGCGUGAAGGAUGACUGCCCUAUGGGUUGUAAACUUCUUUUAUAUGGGAAUAAAAUGUUCCACGUGUGGGAUUUUGUAUGUACCAUAUGAAUAAGGAUCGGCUAACUCCGUGCCAGCAGCCGCGGUAAUACGGAGGAUCCGAGCGUUAUCCGGAUUUAUUGGGGUUAAAGGGAGCGUAGGUGGAUUGUUAAGGCAGUUGUGAAAGUUUGCGGCUCAACCGUAAAAUUGCAGUUGAAACUGGCAGUCUUGAGUCCGGUAGAGGUGGGCGGAAUUCGUGGUGUAGCGGUGAAAUGCUUAGAUAUCACGAAGAACUCCGAUUGCGAAGGCAGUUCACUGGACUGCAACUGACACUGAGGCUCGAAAGUGUGGGUAUCAAACAGGAUUAGAUACCCUUGUAGUC